UACAGAGGGUGCAAGCGUUGUUCGGAAUUAUUGGGCGUAAAGCGCGUGUAGGCGGCUUUGCAAGUCGGGUGUGAAAGCCCUCAGCUCAACUGAGGAAGUGCGCCCGAAACUGCAGAGCUUGAGUGCCGGAGAGGGUGGCGGAAUUCCCCAAGUAGAGGUGAAAUUCGUAGAUAUGGGGAGGAACACCGGUGGCGAAGGCGGCCACCUGGACGGGUAACUGACGCUGAGACGCGAAAGCGUGGGUAGCAAACAGG
rnacentral:rRNA from 1 species